rnacentral:lncRNA from 1 species
GAAUUCGCGCAUAAAACUGAUGUCUCAAGUUCGACAAAGACGCAGAAAUCUUAUCUAGCCGAUAACAAAGAGACACAAUGUCAACAGGAGGAAUUUUUAACUCACUUAGCCCAUUCAAUGGAUCCUGCUGUCUUUUGGAUUUCUCCCAACAUUCCUAGCAGCAAAGAAGUUUUUCCACUUCCCGUUUUACCAACGAUUAAAGUUAACUGACCUGAAAAUUAGAGAAGUUAACAUUUGUACAAAUUUAAAUGAUUUAUUAAUCAUUGCAAUUGAGCUAAAAUUACCACAUGGAAAGCUAAGAUCAUCGAUGGACAAUAAACUUUCCUCUGUACCCCAGGAAAAUUUGCAGCCUUUCAUUAUAUAAUAUAAAAUAAUGGAUGAUUAUAUUACCAUAAAUAGAAUUGAGAUGACUGAUAAUUUUAUAGAAAACAGAGCUAAAGUGACUCGAAGGAGAUUAAUUUAAGAAGUGUAAUUCUUCAUUUUGUCAUUCUAUAUUUUAUUAGAGAGGGAAUUCGUUUCAUGAAACGCUGAUGACGUUUGUCUUUAUGACAUUGUAACAGUUAUUAAUUUUAAACUGAUGACUAUUCUUGGAUGUUAUAAAACAUGUGCAUCAAGCAUCAAAAUACACUUUCUACGAAGAAUUUAUUUGGUUUCCUAGAAACUAACCAGAGAAUAUCGAUGGAACGGAGCUAUAUUUGCGAUUUAGUUUGCAGUAUCAAGGAAGAAAAGUUCUUUGUUACCAUUCGAUAAGCUCUUCUGCCUCUCCAGGUCACGAUAAUAAACAUUAUUGUUCAAACAAACUGAGUAAAUGUAAAACAAAUGUUUGCAUUCGGCCGGGAGUAACUGGUUCUUCUCGAUAAGGUUGCAAUGUUAUGUUGUUAAUUCGCGAUACUUACCAUAAGAAGUAGUUGAUUUAAAUUAAGUAUCUGAUAGUCUAAUCAAAUUAAAUUGAAAUUAAAAUGUAUUUACGUAUUAAUUACAUGUAACAUUUCAGGAGAUAACUACCUCGAAUUAGCUUUAAAAUUAAAUCAUUAAUUAACUUACUAUAAGAUACAACGUGUAAGAAUCCAAAAUAGCAAAGAGACCGCAGAAAAUAGCAGUGAUCGCUGUGGUUGUGUAUCGAACGUGUAAAAUGGAUAGACCAUAUCUGGAAAUUUUCAGAAAUUUGUUUCAUGUUAUUAGAAAGUUAUUAACAAUAAUAGAAAAAAAACUUUUCAAGCAUGAAAUCUACCUAUAAAGAUACGUGAAUUUCCAUGCUCGUGAUAAACCAAUCGCAGCGAAAAUUCCAGUAGUGUAAGCAACGCCAAGACCAUCCUUAACUUCGGUGUUUCGAUGCAGGAUCCAGCAGUAAAGGAUAGCUACUAUCGUAAUGAUCGAAGAGCAAGAAAUCCAUGUUAGAAAAGACUCGCAUAAUUCCAAGAAAAGUACCGCUAACACCGUCAUACAUAACAACGUUCUAGUUGUGUGAAAUGGAAGAAGUUUUCUGCAUUCUCUAAGUUAAAAAGGAAGAAUAUUAAAAACAUGGAUUCUUUAUAAAAUAUCAGUGGAGGUUUCAAUUUCAUCACUUUUUACGUGACGAUAAUAAGAGAGAUUAUUUUUAAUAGACAUAUAAUUCAUAGUUAUUAUCCUCUCGACUAAUCUACGAUCUUUUAUAUAUAUAUUUAGAUCCAAUCGAUCGAUCUUCGACAAACCUUCAAUUACGGAAAUUAUCCCUUGUUACAACAAAGAAAUAAACAAAUCCAACAUCCUUUAUGAAAAUGAUCUAAAUUAACUCAAGUGCCAAUAUAAUAUCAACCAACUAUUAUCAGCUUCCGCCCUUUCGAAUUUUCGCUUGUUUUCUUAGAAUUUUAAGAAAAUAUUUUCCGGAUUGAACAAUUUCUUAAGAAGAACUGGUCAAAUUUAAGGGGAUUACGAGAAAUCUUUAUUGACUUUCCAGCGAAGGAGAAAGAAAAUAAUCGAGCAGCCAUCUGAUUUAAUUUUAUUAAGAUUCUUCGAACGCGCAACGUGACGCAAAUCGGGAAAAUGUGUAUAUGUGUAUGAUCACCCUUCAUGAACACAUGUUAUAAAUUAUUCUGAACGAGGAAGAAACAAAAGAAACGAGUUUGGUAUAGAAAAUAGAUAAAAGUUUUGUAGAUCCAGCCUUGUUUCCAGGAAUGGAAAAGUGUUACAGACGUUUGACAUAGAUCUCUUCUUAUUAAAGAUUUUUAAUUACAAUCAAUCAUCACUUAAGAAAUAAAUUGUAAUAUAAUUCCACAUAAAAAGGGUCACAUGAAGGCGAAGAAAUUAACAGGCUUGAGAAAUUUUUAUCACAUUAAUUGAAACGAAUUGUUCGAAUGGAACAUAGUAGUCCCAUAUGAAUCAUGGGACAUCCCAAAUGUGAAACGUUUCGUUUAAUUGAAGGUUGCUUCAAUUGGUGUUAGCUGAACUCGAAGUUCUAGCCUCUUAAAUACAAAUUAAACAUUCAUCGCACGUUUUCCUCAAAUCAACAGUAUGCAUUGUGACAAGCAAAGCAAAUACCAUUAUUAUUACGAAUAGCCAAAUCUUAUCGUUUUAAAACUAAUUUUCGAGAAUAUGGUAUCAAUAUUUCGAUAUAUAUACUAUUAUCAAGUAAUAUCAGAUUGUUAAAUAAUGUACAAAUUUUUCAUCAAAUUUGU